GGAAGGCAAGGAUGAGGUGAUGCACGCCCGUGCACAGAGAAACACUUCUCUCUCCAACUGGCCACGUUCUGGCAGAAAAACACACUGAGAUGCUCUCUGUUCUCUAGUUGAGAACAAUUAACUCAGGAAAUAAGUUUCCAAAAUGUGUGUGUGUCCAUUUGGUGUCAUUUACAAAUUUUAGAAUAAGAACACACAUUUUCACCCCAAAUAUCCUGAAAAUGAUCAUAUUUGUUAACAUGCAGUCAUUGAAAUAAAAAUACUAACAAAUUAAAGCCACAAAAUGAUAAUAUUAAAGCAUUGACGGGCCGGCGCCGCGGCUCACUAGGCUAAUCCUCCGCCUAGCGGCGCCGGCACACUGGGUUCUAGUCCCGGUUGGGGCGCCGGAUUCUGUCCCGGUUGCCCCUCUUCCAGGCCAGCCCUCUGCUGUGGCCCGGGAGUGCAGUGGAGGAUGGCCCAGGUGCUUGGGCCCUGCACCCCAUGGGAGACCAGGAAAAGCACCUGGCUCCUGGCUCCUGCCAUCGGAUCAGCGCGGUGCGCCGGCCACAGCGCGCCGGCCGCGGCGGCCAUUGGAGGGUGAACCAACGGCAAAGGAAGACCUUUCUCUCUGUCUCUCUCUCUCACUGUCCACUCUGCCUGUCAAAAAAAUAAAAAAAUAAAAAAAAUUUAAAAAAAAUAAAAAAAAAGCAUUGACUAGAAGUAUUUAAAGAAUUGUCCACAACUCAGAGAAACAGACAUCAUUCCAUAUUGAAAAUAGGUUUAUAUACUUUAUGGCAACUCUGAGUUUUUCAGUUGAGUUUCACAUUUUUGUUUGAUCCAAUAUUCAUAUAUAAAAUAUGAUUUAUAAUGAUGCAAAUGUAAAAGUACAACACCUUUUUGGUCCUUUGUGUUAUAGGUUGCUCUUGUACAAUUCUUGCUUGACCACUGCUUCAAGAUAUUUGGAAGCAGCCUUACUUCCACCAUCAGAAAGCAAACAAAAUAUAGGAAACACUACCUAGAAGUUUCAGAUCCUCAGCUGAAGCCAGCUCAAAAACAACAUUCCAUUAAAAAGUGGCUAACUCCGCGUGUUUUGGGCAGAAAUCAAAACAGGGUGGGACCAGAACCUGCUCGGCCCACAGCCCACCAAGCACAGCUAUUUGGAUCACUCUUACAAGAUGUGUGUGAAAACAGCAAACUUCCAAAGUCAAUUUUGGUAAGUCUCAGUUUGGUCUUCUUUUUUUUUUUUUUUUUGACAGGCAGAGUGGACAGUGAGAGAGAGAGACAGAGAGAAAGGUCUUCCUUUGCCGUUGGUUCACCCUCCAAUGGCCGCCGCGGCCGGCGCACCGCGCCGAUCCGAUGGCAGGAGCCAGGAGCCAGGUGCUUUUCCUGGUCUCCCAUGGGGUGCAGGACCCAAGCACUUGGGCCAUCCUCCACUGCACUCCCUGGCCACAGCAGAGAGCUGGCCUGGAAGAGGGGCAACUGCAACAGAAUCUGGCGCCCCGACCGGGACUAGAACCCGGUGUGCCGGCGCCGCAAGGCGGAGGAUUAGCCUAGUGAGCCACGGCGCCGGCCAGUUUGGUCUUCUAUAGUCAAACAUUGUUGAAGAAUAGAUUCGUCAUCCAUGCCUGUCUCCAAAUUGACAAAUCAUUGAGCAACGACCUACUUUGGCUGGCAUUUUUUUCAAUGCAAAAUAAUCUGAUUUACAUAUUGCCCUGUGGUGACAUGUAGUAAACAAAUAAAAACAGAUAGAAACAUUUCUCUUGUCA
rnacentral:lncRNA from 1 species